CCUAGAUCGUCUACGCUUAUGAAGCCCUCGAUCGUCUUUGCAGCUACGACUAAACCUUCUUCUCCCUACCUCUUAUCCUCAAUCGACUACGCAGAUUUAAACCUUCUCCUCCCCAGCUCUUAUCCUGUAUCGACAAUGCCUUCUCCUCCCUGCUCUUCUCCUUAGUCGACGAUGCCUUCUCCUCCCUUUGCUCUUCUCCUCAAUCGACGACGCCGGCCUUCUCCUCCUUAGCUCUUCUGCUCGAUCGAUGACAUAAUGGAAGGUAUAAAAGAACGAAGCUCCGGAUCUGAUUCAAAAUAGAUAUGGCAUUGACCUUCACUUCGAAUUGGGGAAAGUGGCUUCUUUUAUAUCUAUCAGGCAUUCGGGUAGGCUAUCUACGAUAGAGAUUCCAGAAAACAGUAUGUUGCUCAGGAGAUUGAAUCAAAAGCUAAAUUCUAGAAUGACUUUACAAUCGACUGAGAUAGACACUAUAAAUACAUUUUCAGGGGGAACUCACUCAUGGCAAGUUAACUAGAACCGAAGGUUGAGAGGGAUUUUGAUUUGUAAAUUUUUAAUUUUAUAUUGAUGAAUUCUCUUCAAGCGAAAGAAAUUGUUUAUAUGUUUUUCAGCA